CAGGUAUCCCCAACCUGCUAAUUUGCUGGUUUUCUCUUUGGAAUAGCUGCCUUGUAAAGCUUGGGUUUUCUAGCUUAUAGGUUGAAGGGACUUGCAUUGUCUUGGAUCAGACUGGACCAUGGACUGUUGAAUUAAUGCUGAAAUGAGGAAGGGACAGUUCUGGCUCAGGCAGUAAAAUUUGUAUGUGGGGGUGAAUUAAAGCAGCUGUAGCAAAGCUUUACAUAUGCUAAAAACCAUGAAAAUGUAUGGAUCCUAGAAAGAAGCCAGAUAAUAACCAAGGACGAAGUCUUCAUGGGUGGUGAAAACCAAGAAUCCAGAAGCAGAACUCUAUGAAGUGGACCUCAAACUGCCUCCCUCGGGGAAGAGAAGAGAAAGCAUUUAUCCAGUGAUUUCCAUCCUCCAUUGGUCAAGGUAAUCACAUAAGUGUUAACUUUCACAUGAGUUCUGAGCAGUUUAGGCAGACAUUCCACUAAGCCAGUGCAAAAUAAACCUUGUGAGAAACAGUGUGAGGAGACCUAGGGUACAUGAAAAAGUUACAUGAUUUGAGCCCGAGGUAAAGGUACUGACAAUUUGCACUUGUGUAAAAUUGAUCCAAGCUUUGGAGCUGUUCCCUGCAGCAGUGGCUGGAAAAAGAAGGGGGGAAAAGGAGAUUCA